CCGCACAAGCGGUGGAGCAUGUGGUUUAAUUCGAUGCAACGCGAAGAACCUUACCAGGUCUUGACAUUGAUGGACAGAACCAGAGAUGGUUCCUCUUCUUCGGAAGCCAGAAAACAGGUGGUGCAUGGUUGUCGUCAGCUCGUGUCGUGAGAUGUUGGGUUAAGUCCCGCAACGAGCGCAACCCUUAUUGUUAGUUGCCAUCAUUCAGUUGGGCACUCUAGCAAGACUGCCGGUGACAAACCGGAGGAAGGUGGGGAUGACGUCAAAUCAUCAUGCCCCUUAUGACCUGGGCUACACACGUGCUACAAUGGGAAGUACAACGAGUUGCGAAGUCGCGAGGCUAAGCUAAUCUCUUAAAGCUUCUCUCAGUUCGGAUUGCAGGCUGCAACUCGCCUGCAUGAAGCCGGAAUCGCUAGUAAUCGCGGAUCAGCACGCCGCGGUGAAUACGUUCCCGGGCCUUGUACACACCGCCCGUCACACCACGAGAGUUUGUAACACCCGAAGUCGGUGAGGUAACCUUUUGGAGCCAGCCGCCUAAGGUGGGAUAGAUGAUUGGGGUGAAGUCGUAACAAGGUAGCCGUAUCGGAAGGUGCGGCUG
rnacentral:rRNA from 1 species